rnacentral:rRNA from 1 species
UACGAAGGGUGCAAGCGUUACUCGGAAUUACUGGGCGUAAAGCGUGCGUAGGUGGUUCGUUAAGUCUGUCGUGAAAGCCCCGGGCUCAACCUGGGAAUGGCGAUGGAUACUGGCGAGCUAGAGUGCGGUAGAGGAGAGUGGAAUUCCCGGUGUAGCAGUGAAAUGCGUAGAGAUCGGGAGGAAACAUCAGUUGCGAAGGCGGCUCUCUGGACCAGCACUGACACUGAGGCACGAAAGCGUGGGGAGCAAACAGGA